CUGCCCAUAGCAUAGUGGUUAAGGAGCAGGACUCGUGACCGAAAGGUUUUUGGUUCGAUUCCCGUUGGGCAAU